rnacentral:rRNA from 1 species
CCUACGGGUGGCAGCAGUGAGGAAUAUUGGUCAAUGGACGAGAGCCUGAACCAGCCAAGUAGCGUGAAGGAUGACUGCCCUAUGGUUUGUAAACUUCUUUUAUAAAGGAAUAAAACGAGGCACGUGUGCCUUUUUGCAUGUACCUUAUGAAUAAGGAUCGGCUAACUCCGUGCCAGCAGCCGCGGUAAUACGGAGGAUGCGAGCGUUAUCCGGAUUUAUUGGGUUUAAAGUGAGCGUAGAUGGGUUGUUAAGUCAGUUGUGAAAGUUUGCGGCUCAACCGUAAAAUUGCAGUUGAUACUGGCAGUCUUGAGUACAGUUGAGGUAGGCGGAAUGCGUGGUGUAGCGGUGAAAUGCUUAGAUAUCACGAAGAACCCCGAUUGCGAAGGCAGCUUACUAAACUAUGACUGACAUUGAUGCGCGAAAGUGUGGGGAUCAAACAGGAUUAGAUACCCUUGUAGUC